GGUGGCGCAGAGCAGCUGGAGUGCUCGCCUCCCCGUCAAGGAGGAGACCGCGGGUUCGAGUCCCGUCGCUACCGCCA
rnacentral:tRNA from 1 species